AGUGAUGCGAAGGGCGGGCAGCAGGGCAGCAGUGCAGCAGUGCAGCAGUGCGGUGAGGCGAGGGUGCGAGGCGGCUAAGCAAGGGAUGGGCCCGCCGUGGCGAGCCGCUGGGCCGUGUUCCGCCUCCUUUCGGGCUUUCCGCGGGUGUCUGGGGAGGGAACCCGGCCGCGGGCCUCAGGCCGUCCCCCUCCGCAGACCCCUUCUCUUAUUCUGAGUCUAACCUAUCCGCUGGGGCCCUGGAAAGCGAUUCUCGCCUGGAGUGGCUUUAGGCAGCGGUGGUGGGGAACGUCCUCUCUCAGGUGCCUGGGCUCCAACCUCCGAGCCCCGGGUUGCUCACGCUUCUCCGGUCCUCUACCCGAAGGCUCGAUCCCGCUGGUACAGCGGCGGCCAGGCUCCCUGUCUUGGUAGCUGUCCCUCUACCCCCGCCCCAUGACCUCUUCUAGACCAUUGAAAGAGCAUCCAAACCACUUUCCUGCUGCCACUCUUUCCUACCAUCCCUCUAAAUCACAGUUUCCAGGUGACUUUUCUAAGCAUGGCUUUUCUCGUUCACUCCUGUUCAAAAAUCUUCUCACCAAUUUUGUCACCAUUUACUCAGCUGAGUGCCUGCUUUCUGUCAAGUAUUUUACCAAUAAAUCUCUACUCCACACCACCGACAAGAAAUAUUUUGGAGCCAUUUAAAAAGGAGGAAACGGAAGCUUCUGCCGCUGCCUGAUCCUCCAUUGCUCCGAGCCGCGCGGGUGCAGCGGGCUGUGGAGCCGCGGGCCGAGCCCCGCCGGAGCGCCCGAGAGCCCGCGCGUCCCGGGCGUCCGUCGGGGUCCGAGGUCCCUCCCUCAGGGAGUCCCCGCUCGGCAGCGCUCUCGCGUUUCACGCAGCGGCCGGGGAUCUGGGACAGGCGGGGCCCCGAGGCCGAGCCUGGCGCUGCCCAGCGGCCGGUGCAGGCCUCAAGCUGGGCCGGGCGGAGGGGAACCGGCGAGUUGAAGCCCCGGGGCCGAAAGCCGGAGCCUGUGGCGGCCGCGGGGGUGGGGAGGGGGGUGGGGCGGCUUCUUGGGCAGCGCCACACGGCGGCGCAGUGAUGGAUGUUAACAGCAGCGGCCACCCGGACCUCUACGGGCGCCUCUGCUCUUUCCUCCUGCCGGAGGUGGGGGGCAGGCUGCCCGACCUGAGCCCCGACGGUGGCGCCGAACCGGUCGCGGUCUCCGGGACGCCGCAUCUGCUGAGCGGGGGCCCCCGAGGUGACGGCCAGCCCGGCGCCCACCUGGGACGCAACCCCGGGCAAUGCCUCCGGCCGCGGGGAGCAAAUCAAGAAAGGGCCGAGAAAGUUGUGAUCGGCUCUGUCCUGACGCUCAUCUCUCUGCGAUCGCGGGCAACUGCCUGGUGGUAUCUCCGUGUGCUUCGUCAAGAAGCUCCGCCAGCCCUCCAACUACCUGAUCGUGUCCAUGGCGCUGGCCAACCUCUCGGUGGCCAUGGCGGUCAUGCCCUUCAUCAGUGUCACCGACCUCAUCGGGGGCAAGUGGAUCUUUGGACACUUUUUCUGUAACGUCUUCUCCAUGAAUGUCAUGUGCUGCACGGCCUGGAUCUUGACCUUGUACGUGAUCAGCAUCGACAGGUACCUUGGGAUCAUGAAGCCUCUCACGUACCCUAUGAGGCAGAAGGGGAAAUGCAUGACGAAGAUGAUUCUUUCUGUCUGCCUUCUUUCCGCCUUUGUCACUUUACCUACCAUUUUUGGUCGGGCUCAGAAUGUAAACGAUGAUAAGGUGUGCUUGGUCAGUCAAGACUUUGGCUACACGAUUUACUCCACCGCAGUGGCAUCCUAAUCCCCAUGUGCGUCAUGCUUUUCAUGUACUAACAGAUUUACAAGGCCGCCAGGAAAAGCGCGGCCUAACACAGGUUACCUGGCUUCCCUCGAGUGGAGCCAGACAGCAGUAGUCACCCUGAAUGGCACAGUGAAGUUCCAGGAGGUGGAAGAGUGUGCAAACCUUUCGAGACUCCUCAAGCAUGAAAGGAAAAAAUAUCUCCAUCUUUAAGCGGAAACAGAAAGCAGCGACUACCUUGGGGAUCAUCGUCUGGGCCUCCACCAUGUGCUGGCCGCCCUUUUUCCUCCUGACAGCCAGACCCUUCUGUCUAUGGCACUGCCUGCAGCUGCAUCCCACUGUGGGUGGAGAGGAUAUUUCCAUGGCUGGGCUAUGCAAACUCUCUCAUUAACCCUUUUAUUUAUGCCUUCUUCAACUGGGACCUGAGGACCACCUAUUGCAGCCGGCUCCAGUGCCAGUACCAGAAUAUCAACCAGACACUCUCAGCUGCAGGCAUGCAUGAAGCCCUGAAGCUUGCUGAGAGGCCAGAGAGACCUGAGUUUGUCCUACAAAACUCUGACUACUGUAGAAAAAAAAGUCAUGAUUCAUGACUGAAAGAGGGAUAAUGGAGAUGAAAUAAACAAGGCAAAAUAGAGGUGGAAACAGAAGAAAGUCAUUUGCCAAGACUGCAGAAUGGAAUGCAGCUUCUGUCCUUUCUUAGGAUGGCUAAAACGUGACAAACAGCAUGACCUGAUGUACAACAUAUCUUAUGAGGGAGAUGGUGACCUCUCCUUUUUUCUGUGGAUCAGUGUUAUUGUGUGUUCUCAGUUUAAGAUAGCAGAUCAUCUCAGCAGUAAGCACACUGACAGAAUUGAGUUCCAGAAAGGAAGCAGUUUCAGGUUCUUAGCACAUGUCCAAAUCCAUGCAAGUGGGAGAAAGUUCCAAUGCACACUUUCCAUGCUUCCGAGUCUAGGUCUCGUGGUGAAUAUUCAGCAAUCAUUCAUGAGAAAGAAUGUAUUUUGUUGUAUGACAGAAGGGUUUACCAAGCAAACUGUGGUAAGCAUAGUAUCGAAUAUGUUGCAUGUCCAUUUUAGAAAACAGAGCCCAGUCAUCAGCUAAUACAAAUGAUUUCCCAGAGCAGUGUUUGUUUCAAGCUUCUGUCAAAUAGUUUGGCUUUUCUGCAGGGUCCCUGUAACUUCCCCACAAAUGUACUUCUUUGUUAAUUCACUUAUUGUUAUGGUGUGGCUCAGGAACAGGUCUCAGGAUGGAGAGCAGCAUACAACCUGAACAAAGCUUUUUCUUGUGCUCUGAAGGGUCCUGAGACGUGAGGGGGAUGCCUUCCAUGAGGAUUUUUAUCUCAGUGAAGUGCGAGUGGUACCCACCUGUAUUGUCAUUAACAUGAUUAUUGGCAUGUUUUUGACUCUCAUUUUUCACAAGGGUGCAGUGGGGCCAUGGACCAUCCCAUGGGAUGGUCCAUAACUGUAUGUUAUAUGGAAAUAGUGUGGGAAUAAUGGGUUUUCCAUGAAAGGUUGUGAUGCUUCUGGAGAUGGGGGCAUAAACGUGUUCAUUCUUGUUGAGCAGCAUUGUGUUAAACCAAAUUGUGUGAAGUGGAGGUCACCUGGACCACUCCUGGGAAAUGCUCCAGAACACCAGUCUGUUCCUUCUAGAAAUUUGUUCUCUGUAUUUAUUUUUAUUUUUUAUUUUGAGGCAGUGUCUCACCCAUCCUGUCUCCCAGGCUGGAGUGCAGUGGUGCGAUCUCGGCUCACUGCAACCUCUGCCUCCUGGGUUUAAGCAAUUCUCCUGCCUCUGCCUCCCAAGUAGCUGAGAUUACAGGCACCUGCCACCACACCUGGCUAAUUUUCGUAUUUUUAGUAGAGAAGGAGUUUCACCAUGUUGGCCAGGCUGGUCUCAAACUCCUGAUCUCAGUUGAUCCACCUGCCUUGGACUCCCAAAGUGCUGAGAUUACAGGUGUGAGCCACUGUGCCCAGCCUGUUCUCUGUAUCUUAAAUCAACUCUGUGCCAAAGCAGUUCUGUCCCCUGACUCCCACCCCUACCCACCAAAAAGUGGUAGACAUGAAGGGCAGGUAAGGGAACAGAAAAUGUCUCCUUGCAGCUAUAUAUAUUUUAAACGAACUGUGUAAUAAGUAUGAGCUAAGGAGACAGAAAGACAGUAGAUGAGAAAAGAAGAGUACCUAUACCUACAAGGGGCAAAAUGAAUGCAAUCCUUCAUUUGAUAAGAGAGAACUGAAAGAGAAUAUUAUUUUUCUACAAUAAAGCAAGCUGUCCUCUCAGGAUAAAGUGGAAUUUCGACAUGGAUUAUGGACUUCUUCCAACUCCCAUUGACAUUGCUUCUUACCACACAUGGGGAAGGGCUGCCUUUCCUGAAAGGGGAAGAAGGCACUGUCCUUUCAGACAAAGUUUGUACAAAUUCCUGAACUGCAGAUUUGCUAAUGUGACCGCGUAUACUUAUAUUCAUAAUUUAAGUGAUUGUUUAUGGUCAGAUACAUAUUGUUAAACUUGAAAAUGUUUUAUUACAUUACAUCAAAUAAAGUCUAUUUGUAGCUGAAAAAACUAAAAAUAAUAAAAAGGAGGAAACUGAGGCUUAAAACAAUUAAGUAACUUUCCCAGGCAACAACUAAUGUGUGGCUUGGUGAGGAUUUGAACUCAUGUCUGUGUUGUCAGCGUCCAUAAUGCUUUGUACUCUGUCACCCUGGCUUUUCCGACCUGUAUCUACAUCUACAUAUGGCACUGCUUUCCAAAUACUUUCUAAAUGUCCAGCUUCCCCCUUGGACUCACUCCUUGAAACUGACUUCUCUGAAAGUGUCCCUCAAACACUGUGUCCAUGAACACUGUGUGGUCCUGUCUGAACUCUCUUGUCAUCUCAUUUGUUCUAAUAUUCUGCCUACUUGAGGAUUCUCUUUUCUUUUUUUUGAUACAGGAUCUCACUCUGUUGCCCAGGCUGGAGUGCAGUGGCAUGAGCUUGGCUCACUGCAGCUUCGAACUCCCUGGCUCAAGUGCUCAUCCCACCUUAGCCUCCCAAGUAGCUGGGACUGCAGGUGCACACCUAAUUUUUCUAUUUUUUGUAGAGACAAGGUUUCUCCAUGUUGCCCAGGCUGGUCUCAAACUCCUGGGCUCAAGCAAUUCGUCCAACUUGGCCUGUCGAAGUGCUGGGAUUACAGGUGUGAGCCACUUUGCCCAGCCUAUUUUUCUUUUUUUGAGAGAGGAUCUUGCUCUGUCACCCAGGCUGGGGAGCAGUGGUGCGAUCAUGGCUCACUGCAGCCUAGAACUCCUGGGCUCAAGUGAUCCUGCCACCUCAGCCUCCUGACUACCUGGGACUACAGGUGUGCACCACUACUGCCAGUGAAUUUUUAAUACAUUUUUGCAGAGAAGGGAAUCUCACUAUGUUACCCAUGCUGGUCUCAAACUCCUGCCUCAGUUGAUCCUCCUCCAUCCGCCUCCCAAAGUGGUUAAAUUAAGCCAACCUGCCUGGCCUUUAUGAGGAUUCUUUAUGCAUGUUUUACCCAUUGGUUGCAUUGUCAUUUGAAAUUGUUAACCUAAUUGUCAGACUAAUUUGUGGCAGCUGCCCUAAACCAGAGCUGAGGGAUUGCCUGCUGUGCUUUCCUCCUGAGCAAGGGGAAGUUGAGCCGGAGCCAGGUAGUGGCAAUCAAUAAUAGUGGUACUGUUGACCUCUAGCUUUGUGGUAAAAGAUAUUAACUUUAUUAACUCCAGACAAAAAAUAUUUGCCCUUUGACAAAUAUUUGUUCAUUGCUAUAAAGUAAAUUGCCAUUUAAUUAUUUCAUAGUUCCUUGACUCUAAGAUGCUAUUGAUUAUAAGACAGGCCCUGUUAUUUUAUGUGCCACCAAGAAAAAAAACAAAUGCUACUAAGUAAACUAUGACAUUCAAUUGAUUUUAAAUGCAUCCAGAGACAUUAAAAUGUGAAAUAGCAUGCAGCUUGGAGUUCAUAAGAGAUUCUUAGGUUGCUUUGUAAGGGUCUCUUGAGUAUUUUUGCUCACAACCAUACCUCCUUUAUAACAAACUAAUCUUUUAAAAGGCAAGAUCUAUUUUUCUUUAGCACUUCCCUCACUAGCCACACACAGAGGAUGCUCAGUAAGUGUGGAAUGAUUUAAAACAUUCUUGAUAUUAGAGCUAGUCAUCUAUUUUAGUUACUAAACUAUAUACAGUGCAAUGGGCUCUAUUACUCAGUAUGGUCAAGUAGCGGAAGUAUUUGGGAAUCAGAAAACAUCGGGUCAAAAGAUGGGGAUUCCAAUCUGGCUCUGUCCUACCAGUGUAAUGAAUAUUUCUUCUGCAAAUUUCCUAACCUCUGCAGAACUCACUUUCUUUCUUUUUUUAAAUUUAGAGACAGGGUCUUGCUAUGUUGCCCAUGUUGGUCUCAAACUCCUUGGCUCAAGUGAUCUUCCCACCUCGGCCUCCCACAGUGCUGGGAUUACAGGUGUGAGCCACUGCACCUGGCCUCAGAACUCACUUUCUACAUCUGCAACACUGGG
rnacentral:lncRNA from 1 species